rnacentral:rRNA from 1 species
UACGUAGGGUGCGAGCGUUGUCCGGAAUUAUUGGGCGUAAAGGGCUCGUAGGCGGUCUGUUGCGUCGGUAGUGAAAACUCAGGGCUUAACCCUGAGCCUGCUUCCGAUACGGGCAGACUAGAGGUAUGCAGGGGAGAACGGAAUUCCUGGUGUAGCGGUGAAAUGCGCAGAUAUCUGGAGGAACACCGGUGGCGAAGGCGGCAUCCUGGACCGGUAUUGACGCUGAGACGCGAAAGCGUGGGGAGCAAACAGG